AACGGUGGCAAGGAUGACAUGGACAUGAGCAGUGCUGUCAGCAAGGAGCUCUGCGAGCUGGACUUGGGGGAUUGGGACCUCAGCAUGGCUGAGGCUGGCGCAUUCCUCAAGAAGCGAGACUACUCAGCAGAACCCUCGCAGCUCCAGAUCCUUAGCAUCAGCAAGCCCGACUACGCGCGCAACUUCUGGCUUUAUAAGGCAGACAAGCAGUUCCCUCUGCUGGCUUACGCUGCCAACAAGCUGCUGUCAGCCCACGCCACCACAGCUGCAGCUGAAAGAAAUUGGUCAGCCUUUG
rnacentral:lncRNA from 1 species